rnacentral:pre_miRNA from 1 species
GAGACACCCUUAUGGGGCAGGACUUGCUUCAUUGGGGCUCACUGAGUCUGCCCCUUGAGUGUGUCACU